UAUUUCUUCCAUAUAAAGGGUUAUAACAAUAUCCAAACCAUUGUAAUAAUUUAAAAUAAAACAAAUUUACGGAGAUAUAUAUAUAUUUAUUUGAAAUAAUAAUUUUAAACUUUUCCCGCUCUUAAAACUUUGCUACUCGGAAUAUCACGGAAAUGCUUCCGAAAGUUCGUGCAUGUCGAUUAGCGCCUUAUUCAAAGAAACAACAUUUGUUUACCACUCGAGAGAAACUGAAACAAGAAAAAACUAUUCUACAACGUUAACAGCGAUGGCAGAGGGUAGCAUGAGACAAGAACACAGAAGUGAACAAUCUGGUCCUCCAUAAUUCUUUGAUGGCCAAACUGAAUAUCAGCUGGAAAAAUGGCAAAAUUUCAUUUGGUGCCUCAAAGUUGUUCACAAUAAUUCUUGAUUGUGUCUCAGAGUCCUUUCCUGAGUCGGUUGAAGCAACAGAAACUAGGAUGAAGAGCGAAAUGUCCAGGUUCCUGAAAUAUGCCCCUGAAAGGCACGGAGGUGGAGGGAGGAAAGAAAAAAGAAAGAGACAGGAUGAGGACAUUUCAAAUUUCAUUCCAGAUGCUCAAAAUAAAU